UCUUACCUAACCAAAAACUUUGGUUACAACACUUUUCCAAGAACAAAUAUUUUACAGCUAUCCAGGUAGAAGUAUUUUUCACCCCUCCAAGUACAAAUAUUAUCCACCUCUCUAGGCACAAGUAUUCUAGACCUCUCCAAGUACAAGUAUUCUCCAUCUCUCCAAGUACAAGUACUCUUCACCUCUAUAGGUAAGUAUUCUACACCUCUUUAGGUACAAGUAUUCUCCACCUCUCCAGGUAAAUAAGUUAUAAUCUUCCAUUUAGAUUAAGACUCUCAAAUGAGAAAAACACUCCUGAAAGAGAGAACAAUCAAAGUUUAUUGGAUAUACUUCACAAUGUGAAA
rnacentral:lncRNA from 1 species